GACAGAGGGGGCAAGCGUUGCUCGGAAUCACUGGGCGUAAAGGGCGCGUAGGCGGGAUGGCAAGUCGGUCGUGAAAUCCUUCGGCUCAACCGAAGAACGUCGGCCGAUACUGCCGUUCUUGAGGGAUGCAGAGGAGAUUGGAAUUCCCGGUGUAGCGGUGAAAUGUGUAGAGAUCGGGAGGAACACCGGUGGCGAAGGCGGGUCUCUGGGGCAUCUCCUGACGCUGAGGCGCGAAAGCGUGGGGAGCAAACGGGG
rnacentral:rRNA from 1 species